rnacentral:rRNA from 1 species
UACAGAGGGGGCGAGCGUUGUUCGGAAUUACUGGGCGUAAAGGGCGCGUAGGCGGCCUUCUAAGUCGUACGUGAAAUCCCCGGGCUCAACCCGGGAACUGCGUCCGAUACUGGGAGGCUUGAAUCCGGGAGAGGGAUGUGGAAUUCCAGGUGUAGCGGUGAAAUGCGUAGAUAUCUGGAGGAACACCGGUGGCGAAGGCGGCAGCCUGGACCGGUAUUGACGCUGAGGCGCGAAAGCCAGGGGAGCAAACGGG